GUGAGUUUGGAGGGUGCCGGUCAACGAAGCCACGCGAGGUAUUUGAAAGGCAAUCAGCCCGACCGUCCCCCUAGAUUCAUCGGAGAAGGAACUCAGUGAAUAUUGCCCUGGGUCCUGGUAAUUCCACCUACUGAAGACAACUGCCCCUUCUGCUCAUAUUUCCUGAGUCAACAUGGCCGUUCCUAACUUUGAAGAGACUUUAGACAUUCUUUGUUACAAUGAACCUAGAAGAAAGAAGAGAAAUAUUACAGCGACUGUGCCCGGGACUGUAAGGCGGAUAAGACCCAGCAGGGAAAUUUGACCAACAUCUAGGAUGGUCUGUAGGAAUGGGAUAGUGUGACAAUUCUACAUAUCUUACAAAGAUCAAAUCAACACAAUUCAUAUUUCUGUCGGCUUGAGCAAUGACUAUUCUAUGUUUUGGAGACUCUGAUCCUUUCUCUUCUAGCUCCUGGUACAGCCUAUAAUAAGCUGUAGUGAACUUCAGUCACCCUUCUGUGCUGAAGGGCAUGGGCACCCAGUCUUCCCAGCUAGCCGAGUUUCAAGACUUGGGAAAGGAGUUGCUUGCUCCAAGUGCUAAGUGCCUGUGAACAUUGACUAACUUCCCAUGCCCAAGAACUUCUCAUCCGUUUGGCCCCAACUAAAGACACAACGUAUGUAGCUACCAAAUGACAACUUUCCAGGUCAUCUGCCACCAGAGCCUGCCUCCCUCAGACCCAUACAUGGCACUCACACCUGGUGCAAGUGAGCUUGCUUGUCCUCUCAUCAUCUUGGCACCAUGUCUUCCCCUCUGGUCAUCUUAGUAAAGCCCCAAAGAACGGGCAAUAAUGUGAGAGCUGAAGGCUCGUCAGUGCCACUAUCUGUCUUAUUAUGAAUAAAAAAAUUUAAACCCAA
rnacentral:lncRNA from 1 species